AGCGUACACGGUGGAUGCCCUGGCAGUCAGAGGCGAUGAAGGACGUGCUAAUCUGCGAUAAGCGUCGGUGAGGUGAUAUGAACCGUUAUAACCGGCGAUUUCCGAAUGGGGAAACCCAGUGUGAUUCGUCACACUAUCAUUAACUGAAUCCAUAGGUUAAUGAGGCGAACCGGGGGAACUGAAACAUCUAAGUACCCCGAGGAAAAGAAAUCAACCGAGAUUCCCCCAGUAGCGGCGAGCGAACGGGGAGGAGCCCAGAGCCUGAAUCAGUGUGUGUGUUAGUGGAAGCGUCUGGAAAGGCGCGCGAUACAGGGUGACAGCCCCGUACACAAAAAUGCACAUAUUGUGAGCUCGAUGAGUAGGGCGGGACACGUGGUAUCCUGUCUGAAUAUGGGGGGACCAUCCUCCAAGGCUAAAUACUCCUGACUGACCGAUAGUGAACCAGUACCGUGAGGGAAAGGCGAAAAGAACCCCGGCGAGGGGAGUGAAAAAGAACCUGAAACCGUGUACGUACAAGCAGUGGGAGCCUCUUAAUGGGGUGACUGCGUACCUUUUGUAUAAUGGGUCAGCGACUUAUAUUCUGUAGCAAGGUUAACCGAAUAGGGGAGCCGAAGGGAAACCGAGUCUUAACUGGGCGUUAAGUUGCAGGGUAUAGACCCGAAACCCGGUGAUCUAGCCAUGGGCAGGUUGAAGGUUGGGUAACACUAACUGGAGGACCGAACCGACUAAUGUUGAAAAAUUAGCGGAUGACUUGUGGCUGGGGGUGAAAGGCCAAUCAAACCGGGAGAUAGCUGGUUCUCCCCGAAAGCUAUUUAGGUAGCGCCUCGUGAAUUCAUCUCCGGGGGUAGAGCACUGUUUCGGCAAGGGGGUCAUCCCGACUUACCAACCCGAUGCAAACUGCGAAUACCGGAGAAUGUUAUCACGGGAGACACACGGCGGGUGCUAACGUCCGUCGUGAAGAGGGAAACAACCCAGACCGCCAGCUAAGGUCCCAAAGUCAUGGUUAAGUGGGAAACGAUGUGGGAAGGCCCAGACAGCCAGGAUGUUGGCUUAGAAGCAGCCAUCAUUUAAAGAAAGCGUAAUAGCUCACUGGUCGAGUCGGCCUGCGCGGAAGAUGUAACGGGGCUAAACCAUGCACCGAAGCUGCGGCAGCGACACUAUGUGUUGUUGGGUAGGGGAGCGUUCUGUAAGCCUGUGAAGGUGUGCUGUGAGGCAUGCUGGAGGUAUCAGAAGUGCGAAUGCUGACAUAAGUAACGAUAAAGCGGGUGAAAAGCCCGCUCGCCGGAAGACCAAGGGUUCCUGUCCAACGUUAAUCGGGGCAGGGUGAGUCGACCCCUAAGGCGAGGCCGAAAGGCGUAGUCGAUGGGAAACAGGUUAAUAUUCCUGUACUUGGUGUUACUGCGAAGGGGGGACGGAGAAGGCUAUGUUGGCCGGGCGACGGUUGUCCCGGUUUAAGCGUGUAGGCUGGUUUUCCAGGCAAAUCCGGAAAACCAAGGCUGAGGCGUGAUGACGAGGCACUACGGUGCUGAAGUGACAAAUGCCCUGCUUCCAGGAAAAGCCUCUAAGCAUCAGGUAACAUCAAAUCGUACCCCAAACCGACACAGGUGGUCAGGUAGAGAAUACCAAGGCGCUUGAGAGAACUCGGGUGAAGGAACUAGGCAAAAUGGUGCCGUAACUUCGGGAGAAGGCACGCUGAUAUGUAGGUGAAGCGACUUGCUCGUGGAGCUGAAAUCAGUCGAAGAUACCAGCUGGCUGCAACUGUUUAUUAAAAACACAGCACUGUGCAAACACGAAAGUGGACGUAUACGGUGUGACGCCUGCCCGGUGCCGGAAGGUUAAUUGAUGGGGUCAGCGGUAACGCGAAGCUCUUGAUCGAAGCCCCGGUAAACGGCGGCCGUAACUAUAACGGUCCUAAGGUAGCGAAAUUCCUUGUCGGGUAAGUUCCGACCUGCACGAAUGGCGUAAUGAUGGCCAGGCUGUCUCCACCCGAGACUCAGUGAAAUUGAACUCGCUGUGAAGAUGCAGUGUACCCGCGGCAAGACGGAAAGACCCCGUGAACCUUUACUAUAGCUUGACACUGAACAUUGAGCCUUGAUGUGUAGGAUAGGUGGGAGGCUUUGAAGUGUGGACGCCAGUCUGCAUGGAGCCGACCUUGAAAUACCACCCUUUAAUGUUUGAUGUUCUAACGUUGGCCCGUAAUCCGGGUUGCGGACAGUGUCUGGUGGGUAGUUUGACUGGGGCGGUCUCCUCCUAAAGAGUAACGGAGGAGCACGAAGGUUGGCUAAUCCUGGUCGGACAUCAGGAGGUUAGUGCAAUGGCAUAAGCCAGCUUGACUGCGAGCGUGACGGCGCGAGCAGGUGCGAAAGCAGGUCAUAGUGAUCCGGUGGUUCUGAAUGGAAGGGCCAUCGCUCAACGGAUAAAAGGUACUCCGGGGAUAACAGGCUGAUACCGCCCAAGAGUUCAUAUCGACGGCGGUGUUUGGCACCUCGAUGUCGGCUCAUCACAUCCUGGGGCUGAAGUAGGUCCCAAGGGUAUGGCUGUUCGCCAUUUAAAGUGGUACGCGAGCUGGGUUUAGAACGUCGUGAGACAGUUCGGUCCCUAUCUGCCGUGGGCGCUGGAGAACUGAGGGGGGCUGCUCCUAGUACGAGAGGACCGGAGUGGACGCAUCACUGGUGUUCGGGUUGUCAUGCCAAUGGCACUGCCCGGUAGCUAAAUGCGGAAGAGAUAAGUGCUGAAAGCAUCUAAGCACGAAACUUGCCCCGAGAUGAGUUCUCCCUGACUCCUUGA
rnacentral:rRNA from 1 species